UAGGGAAUUUUCGUCAAUGGGCGCAAGCCUGAACGAGCAAUGCCGCGUGAACGAGGAAGGUCUUCGGAUCGUAAAGUUCUGUUGAAGGGGAAAAAGAGCGGAGAGAGGAAAUGUCUCCGAUUGAUAUUACCCUUCGAGGAAGUCACGGCUAACUACGUGCC
rnacentral:rRNA from 1 species